rnacentral:rRNA from 1 species
AACGGCCGUACCAUGCUGAAUAUACCGGUUCUCGUUAGAUCACCGAAGUUAAGCAUCAUUGGGCUCGGUCAGUACUUGGGUGGGUGACCACCUGGGAACACUGCGUGCCGUU